rnacentral:rRNA from 2 species
AACGACUCUCGGCAACGGAUAUCUCGGCUCUCGCAUCGAUGAAGAACGUAGCGAAAUGCGAUACUUGGUGUGAAUUGCAGAAUCCCGUGAACCAUCGAGUCUUUGAACGCAAGUUGCGCCCGAAGCCUUUCGGCUGAGGGCACGUCUGCCUGGGCGUCACGC